UACGGAGGAUGCGAGCGUUAUCCGGAUUUAUUGGGUUUAAAGGGUGCGUAGGCGGGCUGUUAAGUCAGCGGUAAAAGCCCGGGGCUCAACCCCGUCGUGCCGUUGAAACUGACACCCUUGAGUGAGUGAGAAGUAAGCGGAAUGCGUGGUGUAGCGGUGAAAUGCAUAGAUAUCACGCAGAACGCCGAUUGCGAAGGCAGCAUACCGGCGCCCGACUGACGCUGAAGCACGAAAGCGUGGGUAUCGAACAGG
rnacentral:rRNA from 1 species